GCGCUACUUACCUUAAGCAAAUGGGUUGACACGGAAGUUUUUGUACUUCUCGGAGCCUAGCUAGAUGGGCGGGCAUGCUGUAGCAAAUUCGAUGUCGUUCUGGACUCAGUUAAAUACAUUCUUCUUAUCUAGGUAGUCUAUUUACGUUUGUUGUCAGGAUUGAUUGAACAGAAGACUGAAAGAGGAACCAUAUUUAGUGACGCCUCUCCGCAGUUGACUCGACGUAGGAGACCCGCAAUUCUUAAUUUACAAAUCAGUGUGAUUUCUACAGGAAAACUAGUACUGGAUACACCAAAGUAAACAUUUCCCCUCGAACAGAAAUUUAAGGCCAUGUACACACUGGAGGAGUGGUUUAUUAUAGGGUUAUCUAUAUUUGUGAUAGUUCUCAGGUUAGCCUAUUUCUUGUACCAUCGCUGCCUCUCCAAGCUAAGAGCCCUGCCUGUCGCGCACCAGUCUGAUGAGUGUGCCGGUGUUCGUCUCCUCUCCUGGCGUCCCUUAGAGGAUUGGGACGCCCCAGAGUCACAUGGGCCUCACUUAGCUGAGCCAGAGGACCAGGAUUUCGCUCCACCAUCAUAUAGUUCACUCCAGCUUGAUCUGCCCCCUCCCUACCCAAAGGACUGCCGACCUGCAGAGUCAGACCUCCAGUAUGGUUCCCCGCCCUCCUACUCAGAGAUCUGUGUCUCCCAGCGCCAACCACAACACCAGCUGUCCUCAGUGCUAGAACUGCCCCCACCACCACCACCGCCACACCCUCCUACACCAUCUACAGAACCGCCCCACCCCCCCACACUCUGCCUCAUCGAUGUAGAGGUGACCAGACUCUAGGGUGGCCAGAUAUGGGAGACCUCUGAGACCUCUGCUCACCACACACACACAAAAUGAGUCACUAUACACUCUUUACACCAAAAUAAGGAAGUGUUUUACUUAAAUAAUAAGCAACUGGCAUACCGGAUACUACCAAUAUCAAGGACAUUGUUGGGACAACAAAGACAGCUGACAUUAAUGACUGUGUUCGCCCCUUUGGAAAGGAGAAAUGCUGGCAUCUCUUGGAUGCAACCAAAAACAAGGACAUUCGUUUGACAGUCACUGAUGGGACAGUAGUUCAGUUGACAAUUGUGGCUGUGCUUACUUGUCCCUCUUUAAGACUGGGCCUAACCUCAGGUGCAGAGAAGAGUCUACACAGCUAAGUCCCAUUCACAACCCCCUAAAGGUUGUAGACGAACAAUGCUAGUGCCAUAUGCUCGCCAUAACAUUCCGUUUCCUUGGUGACGAGCCAUCGCCCCGGAGAACAGGGUUUUGAUGAUUCGUCACCAUGCCCACUCUCAUCCAGGGACCCUGGAGAGUUUCUGGGACAUCCUAGACUGGGUGCCUACAUUAGGCCGCAACAUGAACACUGUUUUCGUUUCAACCCGCUCCACAGGCGCGCAUCUACACAAUCUUUAGCUCAUAAAAAAGAACGAGUCGUGCUUAGCUACCAAAAAAAAGUUCGUCGCUGACUUUCCAGUCAAUUUUUGGUGCGUCUAUGUUUUAUGCCGAACUAGUUUCUUCAGAGCGCACAAGGAUCUUGGUCGCGAGUGCUGGCACUUUUCGACACGUGAUCGUUCUACACCAAUGAGGUAGCUGCUU
ensembl:lncRNA